CUACGGGUUGCAGCAGUGGGGAAUAUUGGACAAUGGGGGAAACCCUGAUCCAGCAAUGCCGCGUGUGUGAAGAAGGCCUGCGGGUUGUAAAGCACUUUCGGUUGGGAGGACUGCUUCUAGCACUAAUAUUGUUGGAAGUUGACGUUACCUUCAGAAGAAGCACCGGCUAACUCCGUGCCAGCAGCCGCGGUAAUACGGAGGGUGCAAGCGGUAAUCGGAAUUACUGGGCGUAAAGCGCGCGUAGGCGGCUAGAUCAGUCGGGGGUGAAAGCCCCGGGCUUAACCUGGGAACUGCAUCCGAUACUGUCUAGCUUGAGUACAGGAGAGGAGAGUGGAAUUCCACAUGUAGCGGUGAAAUGCGUAGAUAUGUGGAGGAACACCAAUGGCGAAGGCAGCUCUCUGGCCUGAUACUGACGCUGAGGUGCGAAAGCGUGGGGAGCAAACAGGAUUAGAUACCCGGGUAGUC
rnacentral:rRNA from 1 species